GGGCCCGUAGCUCAGCCAGGACAGAGCGCCGGCCCUCUAAGCCGGUGGUCGUGGGUUCGAAUCCCACCGGGCCCG
rnacentral:tRNA from 1 species